UUUAACACUUAUUUAUAGAUCAUAAAUAAAGCGGAAAUUAUCGCGUUUGAACGAUUUUCAUGAAUAGCGUACCAGCCUGUAUAUUUUAAAUCAAAUCACAAUAAAUUAGCAGCGAUUAAGACGUAUAUCUUCAAACUUUCAUUCAUAACUUAAUAUAAUAAAUAAUUUUUUAACAAAUAAAUAAAUAAUAAUGCAGAAUAAUGCAGAAAUUAGAAGAAAAGCAUUGACUGAAAUACGAGUUAAUUCAUAUAUUCCCGGAUAAUAACUUAUCAAACCAAAAAUAACAUGUUUCGCAUAGGGAAUUGUCUUUAUACACGUAAUACGAUGACAAGUACUUUUACAGCCAUUUUUAUUUGCCUUUUGUUGUUACAAUUUCGGUUCUUGUAAAACGUCAAGAUUUUGUACUAUAUUUAUACAUUUACAGUUUCUUAGUUUACAUAUAACAAAGUCAAGAUGAUUACUAUUACGAUUACGUUGCAAUUACAACAACGGUUACAUCUAUCAUGAUUACGACUACGACUACGACUUCGAUCACAUCACGAUUAAAAGCACGAGCACUAUUACGACUACAACUACAACUACAACUACAA